UUCUUAGACUUUGGAAAAAAAAAAAAACAAACAAGAGACCAAAAUAAUUUUAUGGCAGCUUCUUCUUCAUUUUUUUUCGCCUCCACAAUGACCCCCCGUCGAUCUCGAUCAGAUUUUCGUUUCUUUGCUUGAGGGUCCAAAAACCUUGGACCCUAUCUUCUUCUUAAAUUAGAAAGACACACAAAUAUACAGAUAGCUAAGAGGGGAGGAGGAAGGAAUUGGUCACAAACAAAGAACGAUAUAAAGCUUCUUCCGAUUUUCGAUUUCGAAACCAUCGAAUUCGACGGAGUUUCAUUGAGGUCGUCAAGUGCUCGAGUUUUCCGAUUUCGGACCUUAUUCCUAUCACCAUUGCUAUAACUAAAAGAGUAUUACACCUUGAGGUCCAUUUCUUAUCUCUGUCUUUAAUUAAUGCGACUAUUGGUGUUCUACACUGCUUUGGGUUCGAGUGAAUCUGAUUCUGAAUGAAUUUGUCAUGGUCUUGAAUUAAUUUUCCCAUGUUUUUUUUGUACUGUUAUCAUUUAAAAUUAGUAUAUAAUUGUGGUGAAUGCUGAUUGUUGGAAUAGUCAACACAUGGAGUAAGUGGUUUAUGUCGUUAUGCUUUUGUAUUUCUGGUAACUCUCAAAAGACUAAUAAUAUUAGGAACCUUAAAAAUCUCCUAAGAAUAAAACUAUAUUUAGACUGAAUGUCUAUCUUAUAGAGAGUUUUACUUUGGGGUUAAGUCAUUUUUUCUCAUAUAAAUAGAGGGGUCUUACCCCAUUGUAAAUCACCCCAAAAUUCAAUAAGAGUUUUCUUUCUCUCUUUCUCUACAAUAUUGCUCUUGUUCGUUUAUUAUUUCAUAACAAGUUGUGCCUUUUAAUAGUUAGUAUAUGCGAAUUGUAUAUUAUCCGAUAUAAUUGAAGAUCAUAUCCUGAAAGUCGCGAGCAAUUGAGUACAAUUAUAUGCAUAUAAAUUUAACUGCUUUACUUAUAUUUUCUGCUUGAUAUAUAUGGAAAUAGAACGAUAGAGAAAUAGUAACAGAAAUACGAACAAAGUGGUUGAGUUGGAUUGAACUCUGCAAUAUUGUUCUUAUUAUUUUAUUGUUUCAUAACACGUUAUCAUCACGAGACUCUAAUCAAUUAAGUAGAAGCUUUGAGAUUGAGUAUAAUGAUUGUUAAUCGUUCUAUGAACUUCCUUCAAGAUUAAUUCUGGAUUUAAGGUAAGUAU
rnacentral:lncRNA from 1 species